rnacentral:lncRNA from 1 species
CAGACUUUCUGAGUCUUCCAGCCUUUCUCCUGUAUUGAAUGCUUUUUGCCUUGAACAUCAGACUCCAAGCUCUUCAGCUUUUGGACUCUUGGACUUACACCAGUGGUUUGCCAGGGACCCUCGGGCCUUUGGCCACAGACUGAAGGCUGCACUGUCAGUUUCCCUACUUUUGAGGUUUUGGGACUCAGACUGAUCUGCCACUGGCUUCCUUGGUCCUCAACUAGCAGACAGCCUAUCAUGGAACUUUACCUUGUGAUGGUAAUAACGUAGAUGACAGGAAGAAAUAGCAUUUGAAAAAAAUUGCAUGCUUGAAAAAGUGGAACAAUACUAACCAGUGCCUAAGAGGGGCACAAAACUGUCUAUACUUUUUACACUUCAAUGGAUGUGAAAUAAUUACAUCUUAUGGAAUCAGAAUUUCAGAGUUCAAAGAAAUAUUAAUGGUCUUUCAGGCUACGAAUAAGAAAACUGAGAAGCAGAGUGGAAAUUCCUUUUAGCCAGCUUCAGGAGG